AAGGGAGACCUAAUUCCGGUAGGAGACGAAAAAAAAGUAGUACCUACCGAGAAUCAAUCCCAAAAGGUCGGAGCGAGGCGAAAUUGGCUUUCAAACUAGGUUCUGGGUUCACACAAGACCUGAAUCAGGAACAAGGGCUAUUAGCUCAGGUGGUUAGAGCGCACCCCUGAUAAGGGUGAGGUCCCUGGUUCGAGUCCAGGAUGGCCCACCUGCACAGGUGGCAAAAACAAAGAAGCUCCGAAUCAGCACCUUAUCUUACUUUAUAUAGUAAGAGAGAAUGCUGGCUCUGAGUUCAGAGUCCAGAGGAACCUUGAAAACUGCAUAGAGCUAGGUGAAAAAGCCAAAAAAGAAGACCGCAAGGUCAAGCUAAUAAGGGCUAACGGUGGAUACCUAGGCAC
rnacentral:tRNA from 1 species